ensembl:misc_RNA Y_RNA Y RNA
GGCUGGUUUGAAUAUAGUUAUCUCACCUGAUUGUUCACACUCAGUUACAGAUUGAACUCCUUGUUCUCUUCUUUCCCUCCUUUUCACUUCUGUACUUGACUAGCGUUAA